rnacentral:rRNA from 1 species
GACGAACGCUGGCGGCGUGCCUAACACAUGCAAGUCGAGCGAGUGGAUCUCCUUCGGGAGUGAAGCUAGCGGCGGACGGGUGAGUAACACGUGGGCAAACUGCCUCAUAGAGGGGAAUAGCCUUUCGAAAGGAAGAUUAAUACCGCAUAAGAUUGUAGCUGCUCAUGAAGUAGAAAUUAAAGGAGCAAUCCGCUAUGAGAUGGACCGGCGUCUGAUUAGCUAGUUGGCAGAGUAACGGCCCACCAAGGCAAAGAUCAGUAGCCGACCUGAGAGGGUGACCGGGCACAUUGGGACUGAGACACGGCCCAAACUACUACGGAAGGCAGCAGUGGGGAAUAUUGCACAAUGGGCGAAAGCCUGAUGCAGCUACGCCGCGUGAACGAUGAAGUAUUUCGGUAUGUAAAGUUCUAUCAGCAGGGAAGAAGAAUGACGGUACCUGACUAAGAAGCACCGGCUAAAUACGUGCCAGCCGCCGCUGUAA